rnacentral:rRNA from 1 species
CCCUUAGAUAUUCUGGGCCGCACGCGCGCUACACUGACGAAUGCAACGAGCUUAUAACCUUGGCCGAAAGGUCUGGGUAAUCUCCAAAUUUCGUCGUGAUGGGGAUAGAUUAUUGCAAUUAUUAAUCUUCAACGAGGAAUGCCUAGUAAGCGCAAGUCAUCAGCUUGCGUUGAUUACGUCCCUGCCCUUUGUACACACCGCCCGUCGCUCCUACCGAUUGAAUGGUCCGGUGAAGCGUUCGGACCGUGGCCUUUGGACGGUUCGCCGUCUGUUGGCUGCGGGAAGUUCGUUAAACCUUAUCAUUUAGAGGAAGGAGAAGUCGUAACA